AACCAGGGAGGGGGCACUGCUACAAUGCAUUGAAUGCAUCUUUGUUCUAAAUGUAUGAUCCCAAUCUCAUCUUUCGCAUGCAGAAGGUGAGUAGCUCCCCGAGGCACCCUCCUCUCCCUGCACACAGAUGGGGAAACCGAGGGCUGGUAGGGAUGAGCCUGAGGUUAUACAGGAGUUAGGUGGGUCAUGAAAUUUGUUUCCCCCAGUCCCUGGAGCAAACCUUACAAUUUGCCUUUAGAUUCUAGACCUGAAAGUGUUCCUGAUCAGAGAGGCCUUCCUGUCACUGCCUUGCAGGAGGCAAGGGAAAUGGGGUUAGACAUUAGGGAGGACUCCCCGCCCGGAGUCCUAGCACAGCAAACCAGGAGGUGGAACUGAAUCAGCCUGGAAUGGCUGCUGAGAGCUCGGCUGCAAGUUGCUGGUCCAUCUGGGGCCCUGGUUUUGCUUUCAGUCAAAUGGGGAUCCAACUCCUGCCCCACCUGCCAUCUUGGUUGUCAAAGUCAAAGGAGGGAAUGAAGUUAUGAAUUGAAUUGGGCAAAUGAUGACUGAGAACAGGCUUGGAAAAGGUUUUCUGGGGAGGAGGAGGCUGGAGGCCAGGACACUGUUUGUUGUGGAACCAGGAGCUCUUUGAGACGAGACUCCAAGUAGUAAUCCCAGACCCCACCUUGCUCAUCCCAACCUGUUCCGGUCUCCCCAUCAGGGACCUCCAGGUGCAUGGAUUGGUGCUGCCCCUCAUGCUGCCCAGCUUCUACUCAGAGCUCUUCACGCUCUACCUGCUGCUUCAUGAGCGGGAGGACAGCUUCUACAGCCAGGGCAUUGCCAACUUGAGCCUCUUUCCUGAUACCCAACUGCUCGAGUUCCUGGAUGUGCAGAAGCACUUGUGGCCCCUCAAGGACCUCACGCUGACGAGCAAUCAGAGGUACUCCCUGGUCAGGGACAAGUGUUUCCUGUCAGCCACCGAGUGCCUGCAGAAGAUCAUGUGAGUGUGAG
rnacentral:lncRNA from 1 species